rnacentral:rRNA from 1 species
AGAGUUUGAUCCUGGCUCAGGAUGAACGCUAGCUACAGGCUUAACACAUGCAAGUCGAGGGGCAGCAUCAUCAAAGCUUGCUUUGAUGGAUGGCGACCGGCGCACGGGUGAGUAACACGUAUCCAACCUGCCGACAACACUGGGAUAGCCUUUCGAAAGAAAGAUUAAUACCGGAUGGCAUAGUUUUCCCGCAUGGGAUGAUUAUUAAAGAAUUUCGGUUGUCGAUGGGGAUGCGUUCCAUUAGGCAGUUGGCGGGGUAACGGCCCACCAAACCUACGAUGGAUAGGGGUUCUGAGAGGAAGGUCCCCCACAUUGGAACUGAGACACGGUCCAAACUCCUACGGGAGGCAGCAGUGAGGAAUAUUGGUCAAUGGACGAGAGUCUGAACCAGCCAAGUAGCGUGAAGGAUGACUGCCCUAUGGGUUGUAAACUUCUUUUAUACGGGAAUAAAGUGAGCCACGUGUGGCUUUUUGUAUGUACCGUAUGAAUAAGGAUCGGCUAACUCCGUGCCAGCAGCCGCGGUAAUACGGAGGAUCCGAGCGUUAUCCGGAUUUAUUGGGUUUAAAGGGAGCGUAGGCGGACGCUUAAGUCAGUUGUGAAAGUUUGCGGCUCAACCGUAAAAUUGCAGUUGAUACUGGCGACCUUGAGUGCAACAGAGGUAGGCGGAAUUCGUGGUGUAGCGGUGAAAUGCUUAGAUAUCACGAAGAACUCCGAUUGCGAAGGCAGCUUACUGGACUGUAACUGACGCUGAUGCUCGAAAGUGUGGGUAUCAAACAGGAUUAGAUACCCUGGUAGUCCACACAGUAAACGAUGAAUACUCGCUGUUUGCGAUAUACGGCAAGCGGCCAAGCGAAAGCAUUAAGUAUUCCACCUGGGGAGUACGCCGGCAACGGUGAAACUCAAAGGAAUUGACGGGGGCCCGCACAAGCGGAGGAACAUGUGGUUUAA